UUUAAUAUGUUUGUCGAUUUUUUGAGUAUUAAUUUUAUGGAUGGUGCUUAAAUUGAUGAUAUGUUUUGAUGUGAAGGAGUAUAGAUUUUGAGAGACUUAAAAGCUAAAACAAGAGAAAAUGGGUACGAAAUGACCAAAAACAAUCAAGGAAGAAUUAACGUCGCAAAGCAUGGCAAAGAAGCAGUAAAUGGCUAAGGAUGGAGAAGAACAAACCCUUGCUAAGCGAAGCCCAAAGCAAGAUAAUGUCUCGCCCAAGGAAAGAUAGUAGAAAAUUUGGUCUUUCAACUUUAUGUAAUUAAAAAUAGCGAUAAGCAUCCAGUACCCUCUCGAACUAUGACGAAAGUUGUUAUCACAUACUCCAACUUCACAUGAGUCCUGUUACCCUGAACUUAAUUUUAACAUAUUUUGUCACCCUUUUGUGCUGACAUGACACCAUUAUUACAUAAAAAUGGAACCCACAUUAAAGGUGUCACAUCAGCUAAAAAGGGUGACAAAAAUAUAAUAAAAUUGAGUUUAGGGGGUUAAUAGGACCCCUGCGAUGUUGGAGUGUGUCGUAACAAAUUUGAUCAUAAUUCGGAGUGUGGGGUAGGUG
rnacentral:lncRNA from 1 species